rnacentral:sRNA from 1 species
AGUUUCCGGGUCCAAUCUAAGCUACCAGACAGGCUCUGCCAAACCAGAGGCCCAGAUGGGAUCUGCCACUCCAGCCACUGUGAGCAGCUUUGGUUUCAGCCCAAAUGCCAGGACUGGAGAAGUGUCGACAAGGUUGAGGUUCCGGGAUACAUGUGCAGAACAUGCAGGUUUGUUACAUAGGUAAACAUGUGCCAUGGUGGUUUGCUGUACCCAUCAACCCAUUAUUUAAGGAUCACAUGAACACAAUCCAGUACAAAUGGGUCCAGGAGCUUCAACGAGCGUUCCAGCUUCUUCGUAAAGUUCCCACACCGUGCAACAAGCGGAGGGAAGAGAACUUCCGGCGCCCCCACCUACCGCUCCCCAGCCGUGUCCCGCUGCUCUAAAGCUGCAGACUUGAUCGAUUGCUUCUGCCUGGGCGGUACCGCCCGAAUCGACUGCUCCUGUCUGAUGCGUCCCCAGGCGCGGGAAACGAGUUUCAAUCCACUUUCCUGACCCCAACCAUCUGCCCGGUUUCCGCUUCCCCGUCUUGUACACACCUAACUCCUGAGGCUCCUCCGAAUCACGCGAGU